AACGAACGCUGGCGGCAGGCUUAACACAUGCAAGUCGAGCGCCCCGCAAGGGGAGCGGCAGACGGGAGAGUAACGCGUGGGAAUCUACCCAUCCCUACGGUAUAGCUCCGGGUAAAUGGAAUUAAUAACGUAGAUGCCCUACGGGGGAAAGAUUUAUCGGGGGUGGAUGAGCCCGCGUUGGACUAGCUAGUUGGUGGGGUAAGGGCCUACCAAGGCGACGAUGCAUAGAUGGUCAGAGAGGAUGAUCAGACACAAUGGGACUGAGACACGGCCCAAACUACUACGGGAGGCAGCAGUGGGGAAUAUUGGACAAUGGGGGCAACCCUGAUCCAGCCAUGCCGCGUGAGUGAUGAAGGCCUUAGGGUUGUAAAGCUCUUUCACCGGGGAAGAUAAUGACGGUACCCGGAGAAGAAGCCCCGGCUAACUUCGUGCCAGCCGCCGCAGUAAGAC
rnacentral:rRNA from 1 species